rnacentral:rRNA from 1 species
CAGCAGCCGCGGGAAUACGUAGGGUCCGAGCGUUGUCCGGAAUUAUUGGGCGUAAAGGGCUCGUAGGCGGUUUGUUGCGUCGGGAGUGAAAACCCAGGGCUUAACUUUGGGCUUGCUUUCGAUACGGGCAGACUUGAGGCAUUGAGGGGAGAACGGAAUUCCUGGUGUAGCGGUGAAAUGCGCAGAUAUCAGGAGGAACACCGGUGGCGAAGGCGGUUCUCUGGCAAUGUUCUGACGCUGAGGAGCGAAAGUGUGGGGAGCGAACAGGAUUAGAUACCCCAGUAGUCCCUGUCUCUUAUAC